rnacentral:rRNA from 1 species
AGUGAACGCUGGCGGUAGGCCUAACACAUGCAAGUCGAACGGCAGCACAGUAAGAGCUUGCUCUUACGGGUGGCGAGUGGCGGACGGGUGAGGAAUACAUCGGAAUCUACUUUUUCGUGGGGGAUAACGUAGGGAAACUUACGCUAAUACCGCAUACGACCUACGGGUGAAAGCAGGGGAUCUUCGGACCUUGCGCGAUUGAAUGAGCCGAUGUCGGAUUAGCUAGUUGGCGGGGUAAAGGCCCACCAAGGCGACGAUCCGUAGCUGGUCUGAGAGGAGGAACAGCCACACCGGGAAUGAGAAAAGGGCCCAAACCCUACGGGGGGGAGGAGGGGGGAAAUUGGGGCAAUGGGGGGAAGGCUGAACCAGCCAAUCCCGGGGGGGGAAAAAGGCCCUCGGGGUUGUAAAGCCCUUUGUUUGGAAAAAAAAAGCAGGAGGUAAAAACCCCGGUGUUUGAACGGAACCCAAAAAAAAAGCCCCGCCAAACUUGGG